GAUGAAGAACGUAGCGAAAUGCGAUAAGUAAUGCGAAUUGCAGAAUUCCAGUGAGUCAUCGAAUCUUUGAACGCACAUUGCGCCCCUUGGCAUUCCGAAGGGCAUGCCUGUUCGAGCGUCAUGAUCAAAUCUCAAGCCUUGCUUGGUAUUGGGUUUUCGUCUCUCUCCCGUCUUUGUUACGGGUAUUGACGUGCCUGAAAAUCAAUGGCAGUGCCUUAUUAGACUCAAGCGUAGCAGACUGACACGCUUUAGAGAACUUUUGAAGGUUCUGUCAAUAAAAUAAUAAGUUGGACCUCGGAUCAGGUAGGGAUACCCGCUGAACUUAAGCAUAUCAAUAAGCGGAGGA
rnacentral:misc_RNA from 1 species